rnacentral:lncRNA from 1 species
CAUCAAUCCAUAUGACUUCUCGAACCUGAUUAUCAGUAUGUAAAGCUCUCAGCUACUGCUCAAGUAACUUUCUGAUUUGCACCAUGAUGAUCAUGGUCUAACCAUUUAAAACUGUAAGCAGGUCCCCAAUUUUUUUUUUCAUAAGAGUUGCCCUGGUCCUGGCAUCUUUCCACAACAGCAGAACAGCAACUAAGACAAAGUUUCAGUGAUUAAGGGCACUCAUUGCCUUGAAGAGGACCUGAGUUUGGUUCCCAGCACCCAUGUAGAUGCACACAACUGCCUGUGAUUCUGGUUCCAGUGGAUCCAACACAGCCUUCUGUGCGCUGGAGGCUCCUGAAUGUAUGCAGUUAACAUAAAGUUGUGCAAUCUCAUACACAUACAUAUAAAUAAAAAAUAAAUGUUAAAAAUAAAUAAAUAAAAUAAAAUUCAGCCAACGCUUCUCAGAGGUGUGUCAUUUCUUGCUCAAAAAGAUUCUAACGUUUUUAGAGUAACAUAUACUGUAUGUGAUCUUAAACAUACCAAGUUCAUUAAAUAUUUGUGU